UACAGAGGUCUCAAGCGUUGUUCGGAUUCAUUGGGCGUAAAGGGUGUGUAGGUGGCGCGCUAAGUCGGGUGUGAAAUUUCGGAGCUUAACUCCGAAACUGCAUUCGAUACUGGCGUGCUUGAGGACUGGAGAGGAGACUGGAAUUCACGGUGUAGCAGUGAAAUGCGUAGAGAUCAUGAGGAAGACCAGUGGCGAAGGCGGGUCUCUGGACAGUUCCUGACACUGAGACACGAAGGCCAGGGGAGCAAACGGG
rnacentral:rRNA from 1 species